rnacentral:rRNA from 1 species
UGCAAGUCGAGCGGGAUCUUAUUGAUUCAAUCCUUCGGGAGAGAAACUUUAAGUGAGAGCGGCGAACUGGUGAGUAAUACUUGGGCAAUCUGCCCUUUAGUUGGGGAUAGCCACUGGAAACGGUGGGUAAUACCGAAUGUGGUAUCUCUGAGCAUUCAGAGUGAUCUAAAGGUGGGGCUCCUUCGGGACCUAUCGCUAAAGGAUGAGCCCAAGUCCUAUCAGCUUGUUGGUGAGGUAAUGGCUCACCAAGGCUAAGACGGGUAGCUGGUCUGAGAGGAUGGUCAGCCACACUGGGACUGAGACACUGCCCAGACUCCUACGGGAGGCUGCAGUCGAGAAUCAUUCACAAUGCGCGAAAGCGUGAUGAUGCGACGCCGCGUGGAGGAUGAAGGCCUUAGGGUUGUAAACUCCUGUCAGAAGGGAAUAAUUGCACAGCGAUUAAUAAUCGUUGUGUUUGACGGUACCUUCAGAGGAAGCCACGGCUAACUCUGUGCCAGCAGCCCGCGGUAAUACAGAGGUGGCAAGCGUUGUUCGGAUUUACUGGGCGUAAAGGGUGCGUAGGCGGCACCGUAUGUCGGAUGUGAAAGCCCACG